GAUGAACGCUGGCGGCGUGCCUAAUACAUGCAAGUCGAGCGAACGGACGAGAAGCUUGCUUCUCUGAUGUUAGCGGCGGACGGGUGAGUAACACGUGGAUAACCUACCUAUAAGACUGGGAUAACUUCGGGAAACCGUAGCUAAUACCGGAUAAUAUUUUGAACCGCAUGGUUCAAAAGUGAAAGACGGUCUUGCUGUCACUUAUAGAUGGAUCCGCGCUGCAUUAGCUAGUUGGUAAGGUAACGGCUUACCAAGGCAACGAUGCAUAGCCGACCUGAGAGGGUGAUCGGCCACACGGGAACUGAGACACGGUCCAGACUCCUACGGGAGGAAGCAGUAGGGAAUCUUCCGCAAUGGGCGAAAGCCUGACGGAGCAACGCCGCGUGAGUGAUGAAGGUCUUCGGAUCGUAAAACUCUGUUAUUAGGGAAGAACAUAUGUGUAAGUAACUGUGCACAUCUUGACGGUACCUAAUCAGAAAGCCACGGCUAACUACGUG
rnacentral:rRNA from 1 species